rnacentral:rRNA from 1 species
UACGAAGGGGGCUAGCGUUGUUCGGAAUUACUGGGCGUAAAGCGCGUGUAGGCGGGUCUUUAAGUCAGGGGUGAAAUCCUGGAGCUCAACUCCAGAACUGCCUUUGAUACUGAGGAUCUUGAGUUCGGGAGAGGUGAGUGGAACUGCGAGUGUAGAGGUGAAAUUCGUAGAUAUUCGCAAGAACACCAGUGGCGAAGGCGGCUCACUGGCCCGAUACUGACGCUGAGGCACGAAAGCGUGGGGAGCAAACAGG